UACGGGGGGGGCAAGCGUUGUUCGGAAUUACUGGGCGUAAAGGGCUCGUAGGCGGCCAACUAAGUCAGACGUGAAAUCCCUCGGCUUAACCGGGGAACUGCGUCUGAUACUGGAUGGCUUGAGUUCGGGAGAGGGAUGUGGAAUUCCAGGUGUAGCGGUGAAAUGCGUAGAUAUCCGGAGGAACACCAGUGGCGAAGGCGGCCGCCUGGACCUGACCUGACGCUGAGGCGCGAAGGCGUGGGGAGCGAACGGG
rnacentral:rRNA from 1 species